GCCAAACCGAACUGGCCGAUCCCCCGGGGCCCGCUGGCCCAGCCACUCGGGGAGGCUUCUGUGGGAAGCCGCCUCCAGGCGAUUCUCGGAGCCUGCUCCGGCCUCCCGCCCCACCUCCGCCCGGGGACUCAGGCCUCCUUCUCACCACUGUCCAGCCUUGGGCUGCUCAGAGGCCAGCUCCCCGGCCAGCCCUUGCCCAUGGACGAUCCAGAAGGCAACAGAGACAGCGUCUGGCCACGGGGAGCCCGGCCUCAGACAGGCAGGGGGGACAGGGGCCCGUGGUGACGGGGCUUUCAAGGAUCACAGCCUGCAGCAGCAGGACCAGGACGCUAUGGACGGUUGAAACGGUUACUCUGAAAGGGGACCUUAAGGUCAAGAUGGACACUUGGAGGCUUCAGAUGCUGAAGCAGUUUCGUUCGGGCCAAGUCAGCUGAAGGAGCACGUGGGCCUAAAUUUAGGCUGAGCCAGGUUCACACGCUCACAGCUCCCCUGUCUGUUAAUGGUACAAUCUGUUCGGACCUUUGGAACAUUCCUCAGCUUUUAUUGAAGAGUCCAAAGGCAUGGCAAGAUGUUAAAACACGCACCACAGUGAACAAGGUCCUGGACCAUGCCAGCUUGUCUGCCAGCCCUGCCUCCCACGAUGAGCGCCCCCACUCAGCUCCACCCUGCGUGCCCUCCUGGCCUUGGGACCCACCCCCACUUCCUCUUCUGGGCACCGUGGGCUCCAGGGACACUUCUAAAUGGUAGAUGGCCUCCCUUACCCUGUGCUUAGAACUUUCUACGUUUCCACUGAAUGAAAGUCUAAGAGAGGUCUCAACUCCUGGCUUGAUCGUAAACGGCCCCUCCUUUUACUGGCCUGACCCCGGGUGGCUGUGAAGACAUCCCUGGAUGUGGCGCCUCCGUCCCUGCUCUGUUCCCCCCUGGCCGAGCCAGACGCCCAGUCCUGGGGCAGCUGCUCUGCUGUCGUGGCCCUUCACUGACCUCUUGGCCCGUCACUGGCGGACCUCCCCGCAGGACUGUGCUCACCACGCUUUAGGCUCCUUCCAAGGGUCUUCCUGUCGUAUGGGGGUCCCCGGUGCCCUCCCGUUUCUGUGAGUUUCAGGCCUAGAGUCGGCUCUGAGCACGGCUGUGGAGAAGGGGCAAGGGCAUGUGUGAGAGGGAGCAUGCAGGCCCCCCCCCCCCCAACCCCGUCCUCAGUCUCUCGAUCUCCUUGCCAUCCGAGGGACUCAGGCUCACAGUGAAGACGGUGCAGAUGGCACACACACCACCUCCCAUGGGAAGACCGGUUCAAAGGCAGUGGUGCCAGAGGUGAGGGCAUACAGGCAGAGGUAGACUGGGGCGGCCAAGGGCAAAGGCAAGGGGGCAGCCGGGUGUAGGCUGUGUGACUGUGAGCAAGUCAGCUAACCUCUCUGUGCCGAGCUUUCUCCUCGUGGAAGCGGGAGAUAAUAGCAUCCCUGGAGGGACUGGCAAGUCCUUGCCCCACUCAGUUAAUGGGGAGUCAAUGAGGAGGCCUGGGUGGUGGAGGUGAAGGCUCAGAUCCAGAGUUAAAAGACAAACCUGAGCCCCGGCAGGGGUGUUAUAUUGUUGUUCUGUCGCUAAGUCAUGUCUGACUCUUUGCAAUCCUACCACCUGCAGCGCGGCAGGCGCCUCUGUCCUCCGUGAUCUCUGGGAGCUUGUUCAAACUCAGGUCCAUCAAGUCGGUGAUGCCACCCAACCAUCUCAUCAUCUGUCAUCCCCUUCGUCUCCUGCCUUCAGUCUUUCCCAGCAUCAGUGUCUUUUCCAAUG